rnacentral:piRNA from 1 species
UGGGCUGGAAUGAGAAUGUGUCUUCCCC